GAGGCGCGUCACAGUCUCUAGGACUUAGGUCAUGGUCGCUUGUCCCUGUGGCUUGGGCCUAUAGCAACAUAGCACAUCAUGGUGGGAUCUCAUCGCCAUGGAAACCAGAAACAAAGAAAGACAUGGAGGGACUGAUGUUGAAAUUUUACUUACAAGCUGUUGGCACUGUACAUGGGCAUUAUAUUGACCAAUAUGCUGCCCCAGCAUCUCAAGCAUCCAGCCCUCCCAUCAGCACUAACUACAGACUGAUGGCCAAGCCCUCCACACAUUGGCCUUUUUGGAAAAGUCAAGAUCUAAAGCAGCACACAGUUCACCGACCUUCAGGAUUGCUCUGGGCCAGGUUUGGUUUUCACCGUGAAAUAGAUGACAUGGCUAGAAGCACUCUUCCUGGAAGUUAUAGCUGUAGCCUCUUGAACUUCAGGAAGCUGAACUCCAGUCUGAAUUCCGUUAUCACCGCGCAUGGUGGGAAGCUGUUAGUCCCGCAGAGUGGGGUGCUGACUGGCCCUGGAUUAAAUCCACUGUACUGAGAGUUGCUGAGAAAGAGAUUAUAAUGGGAAGCCAGCUGCACACUGCCAGACUCCUGCAAGGAAUUAACCUGUAGAAGCAAACGGCCAGAUCCAGUCUUCCAGAAGUAAAAAUGUAGAGGAGAAUGAGCAGGCUGAGUAAAUCGGUGGCUAGCAGCACCCAGACCUCGAGUUCUGCCCACAGGUAACCUCGAAGCAAUGCCCCUAAGCUCCCGAGCCAGGAACCUGAGAAGGAGAGUUGGGAAGAGACCUCAGGGAGGCUCCAGAUACGAAUCAAUCCACAGAGUCCGAGUGAGUGUGAAAAUCAACAUUGAAUGUUAUUUCCAAACAAAGGCAAGGUCAGCACCUCUUCGUGGUCAGGCAUGUAUGAUGUGUGUGUGUAUGUCCGUGUGUCUGUCCUUUCCUUGCAUACAUGUGUGGCCCGUCUUUCACACUAGGGACUCAUAAAUGGCACUUGGAUUAGAGAUAGGUAUGUGAACUAUGACCGUGGUCAGGAGAAACUCAGGAACCUGUUCUGCCUAUAACUCCCUUCCGCAGCCCCCCUCUCCUCAGUACAAUCUCUAUUGCCCAAGUCAGUUUUGCCCAGGUAUGCAUGGAUAUGAGCCAUCAAUACAUUUACUCCUGGCAAACACAACACAAAAGUAAGGGCUGGAGAGACGGCUCAGCAGUUAAGAGCACCUGCUGCUCUUUAUAAAGGAUCUAAGUGUGGUUCCCG